rnacentral:lncRNA from 1 species
UUCUGGAGCAGCCUUCCAAGUGGGCUAAGUCUAUGGGACAGUUUGUUGCCAACUUUGCAGGAAUGUGAAGGCUGGAGCAACAGCAACCCUCUUGGUCCAGCAAGAGGACUGGUCUAGCAACCCUCUAGGUAAUCUUGAGGGUGGAAGGCACACAGUAAGAGGGUGGACCAAGCAAGGAUGGAAGGACCCUGGGUCCCAUGAUUGGAGCUGUCCGGCAGCCACCAGACCAGACUAUCGCCAACCUCUCAAAUUCCUUUAUGUGAGGGAAAAUAACACUAUAUGUGCCCAAAUGAUUAUUUUUGGUUUUCUAUUACAUGCAGCUAAACGUAAUCCUAAUCCAAUUCUAACAGUUAUGAGAUCCCUGUCAAGUGGUUGGUCCGUGUUUGCUUGAAUAUCUUCCAGUCCUAAACAAUCAAGAGUAGCAUAUGGCACUGAGUGUCAGUAGGCCUGACGCUGGGCAGGGGUUAUUUCCCCAUUUUUCAGAUGAGGAAACUGAGGCUUAGAGAAGCCAAGCACAUAGCAAGGUC